AUUGAACGCUGGCGGCAUGCUUUACACAUGCAAGUCGAACGGUAACAGGGAGCUUGCUCCGCUGACGAGUGGCGAACGGGUGAGUAAUGCGUCGGAACGUGCCGAGUAGUGGGGGAUAACGCAUCGAAAGGUGUGCUAAUACCGCAUACGUACUGAGGUAGAAAGUGGGGGACCUUCGGGCCUCACGCUAUUCGAGCGGCUGACGUCUGAUUAGCUAGUUGGUGAGGUAAAGGCUCACCAAGGCGACGAGCAGUAGCGGGUCUGAGAGGAUGAUCCGCCACACUGGGACUGAGACACGGCCCAGACUCCUACGGGAGGCAGCAGUGGGGAAUUUUGGACAAUGGGCGCAAGCCUGAUCCAGCCAUGCCGCGUGUCUGAAGAAGGCCUUCGGGUUGUAAAGGACUUUUGUCCGGGAGCAAAUGCCUGGUGUUAAUAGCACUGGGAGCUGAGAGUACCGGAAGAAUAAGCACCGGCUAACUACGUGCCAGCCGCCGCAGUAACAC
rnacentral:rRNA from 1 species